rnacentral:rRNA from 1 species
AGAGUUUGAUCCUGGCUCAGGACGAACGCUGGCGGCGUGCUUAACACAUGCAAGUCAAGGAGAAAGUCCCCUUCGGGGGGCGAGUAAACUGGCGCACGGGUGAGUAAUAUGUAAGUAAUCUACCCAAGGGUUUGGGAUAACUCGACGAAAGUCGGGCUAAUACCAAAUAAUGCAGCGGCAUCGCAUGAUGAUGUUGUUAAAGCCUUCGGGCGCCUUUGGAUGAGCUUGCAUCCGAUUAGCUAGUUGGUAGGGUAAUGGCCUACCAAGGCAACGAUCGGUAGCUGGUCUGAGAGGAUGAUCAGCCACACUGGAACUGAGACACGGUCCAGACUCCUACGGGAGGCAGCAGUGAGGAAUAUUGGGCAAUGGGCGAAAGCCUGACCCAGCAACGCCGCGUGGAGGAUGAAUGCCGUAAGGUUGUAAACUCCUUUUAGAGGGGACGAAAAAGUAGGUUUGUAGCCUACAUGACUGUACCUCAGAAAA